GAGCCAUGAGGAGAGAUGAACUGGAGCUACGAUAUGACUAAAAGCAAGUAUAAUGUGGGAAACCUGAAUAAGGGGAAACUAUGUGGGCUUAGGAGGUUUAGGAUGGAGUAACUCUUGCCCAGCAUUGUGCUCUAGGUAAAUUAAAAAAAUCCUAGUCUCUGUGUGGUGAUUUGGGUGUACAGCUGGUUUAGGAAUAACCGCUGUUUAACUAAAAGAUAAAUUGAUAAUGAAUAUUAAUAAUCAACAACAAGGGACUUUAAGUGAGGCAGGAUUGCAGGGACCAACUGACCAUUCUGUCAUGUAUGUCCUUGGGGUUUGAUGGCUCUCCCCAUCCAGCUUCUCAGAGAAGGAUCACAGGUGACACCGUGUCUUCAUGCUCCUGCUGGCAACGCUGUUAAUUUACUAUAUAUUUGGAGUUUUAGAAUCACUUCUGAAAACUAAACACCUCAGUUUCUUAUCAAAUCAGCAUCUAAUCAUUAUUGGUAAUGGGGGAUGGGCUGUGAUUCUUUUCCCCCCAGGUGGAAACAGAUGUGGUGAGAGGUAAUGUCUUUCAUGUCACAGCUCUUUAACAUCAAGACUCCAAGCCAAGGUCCAUAUUCAGACAACAGACACUUGUGAGCACGCUUUCUCUUUCAAAGUUUUUUUUUUCCCCCCUGUAGCCUUUCUUGUUCUCAAUUCCUUCUAUCACUGUCAGCAUAACUUUAUCUUGGUAGGUAGAGGACACCACAAUGAGAUGCCAGAACCAGGAAAAUGUCCCUGAAUACUGUCUGUCCAUGGGCUGGCCAUGAUGGAGACCCCUCUGAUCAGGGCCAGGAAUGAACUGGAACAUUAAUACGUUCCUGAGUAGAGGUGGGGUGUGACUGCAGGACCUGGCUGCAGAUUCACCUGAAAGAGACAAAUCAGGAUCUCAACCUCCAGGUACAGAAGCAGAGCCCAGCCCGCCUGGACAUCCUCAAGAUUUGCUAAAGAAUGGCUCUGUUGACCAGUGACAUGGCAAGAAAUGUCACUCAGGGUGGCUGCCACUUCAGAGGUUCAGAGGCAACUGCAGUCAAUGGGGAUGUGACCUUAAUGCACGAGGAGACAACCCUGCAAUGGCUGUGGGAGGCAGACAGUGUUCACAGCUCCACCUAGUGGAGGCUGGAGGGUAAGCAGCCAAGGCGCUUUGCCAGCAUGGUCAUCCCAACUGGCUCGCAGCCUUAAAAAGACAGCUGACUCAGACAAGAUGGAUCCACUGCACUGACCGCUCCCCUCCCCGCUCCCCUCUCUUCCUCUAAGGCCUAUAGAGGGGACAGGGAUUUUUCAAAUGAGCAUGUGACAUGGGACUUCUAAAAUCAUACAAGGCAUCAGCACAGACAAACCUGCCAGGACUGCAAAGCACAGGGAAGAAAGUUGCCCCCUGCGUUGAUGUCCCUGGGUCAUAUCCUGCCUGGGAGUGGAAAAGAGCCUGACACAGAAGCCUGGCUACCAGACUCAUCCUCAGGACGGCCCGAUUUGUCUUUGCUCAUAUAGCAUAUCAGACUUUGAAUAAUACGGAAACAUCAGGAGAAUUUAGAACUAAGUGUAAGAUGACAGAAUUGAACCCAUGACUGUAGCAUUUCCAUGUUGCAGCACAGAUAACUCUGCCCUCUAAGGGAUACACACAUAAUUUUCAGGAACAUUGGACACAGGAACUCUGUGAUUCCAGUUGUAACAGGAUUAGAAAUUGACCCAGAGGCUGGCAUUCACCUUGAAAACUCUGAGGGAGCUGACGAUGAGCUUGAGACAGAGAGAAGAUGAGAGCUCAACUUCAGCAGAUAGUUCCACAUAGAUGGGAGAAGAAGGGAGGUGGUCAGGGAGGAGACAGGCAGCUCAGCAGCACGGCCCAAGGGCACCGCCGCAGUCCUCAGUCACCAAGGAGGGGUGGCCAGUGUCACUGUCAUGCCACAACCUGGCCUUGAAAUCUUGUGGCACUUGAUUUUGGCAACCACGAAGGGCAUGGUCACAAAGUAUAGAGUUGUCACGUGACCCAGCAUUCCACUCCUGAGUAACCUCAAAAGAAGGGGCAGACAUUUGACUCCCACACUCAUAGCAAUGUGAUUCAUAGGAGUCUAAAGCUGGCCCAGCCCGAGUGUCCAUCUGUGCAUGAAUACACGUGAGAAUGAAUUCAUCUUCCACACUCAAGAUGCAGGAGAGCCUGACCCAUGCUAGGACAUGGAUGGAGCUCGAGGACAUUAGUGUAAGUUAAAUACCCUGCCCACAGACGGGCACAUCCCAAGUGAGCACUCUGAACGAUGAGGUCCUGCAGAUGAUCUAUGAAUGGCUGCAAGCACUGUGGGGACAGGAGUUAUGACCGUAAGUGUUAGGGUAUAUUUAAAAAAUGCCAUACAGUAAACAGAUCUGAUAUGAAGAGAUUUAUUUUGGGGGAUGGAAAACGGAGAGGAGUUAGGGCCUGAGUGGGUCAUGAGGGGAAAGAGAGAGAGAGAUACACAGACAGAGAAAGAGGCAGAGAGAGAGCAAGACAGAGAGAGAGAGAGAGAAAUGGGGGAGGGCCCCCAGGGAAGGGGAGAGAAACCGAGGCAAAGAGAGCGGGUGGCAGCGGCAGAUGGUUGUAACUGAAGCACCUGGCCCAGGUGAUGACACAGGUCACAGGUGGUGACAUAGGACGCUGUCAGUACCCUAAAGACCCCUGAGGGCAGGCCAGGUGAACUGCCUGCACAACAUAACAUCCUUUCCUUUUCGUUUAAUUAAAACAAGGAGUUGCUAGGGAGGAAUGAUGAGGCAGAAAUGAGUACAUUGGAAUGCUUCUCAGGCAAAGAAAGUUAAAGUAUAGAAAUGUAGGCUCAUUGGAAGCAGCUCUUGGACACCAUGCAAGGGGGAGACAGACAUAAAGAGAGAGGGAAUGAGAGAGAGCACCAAAACAUCUGGAUUACGCGGCAAGAAGAGAAAGCUCCCACCCUGGAAAGUUCAGGGCGGUGGGGUUUGCCAGUCAUAGUCUAGAGCAGAUAGGGGCUGAGGAAUGCUGGGAGAAUCUGGAGUAGUUUGUCCCAGCCUGAAGCACACCAGUAGGGAGCAGGUGUCACUGCCAGAUGGGGUGAGUUCCAACCCGGAUGGUGAUGUUUGCGUCUCAAGUUGAGCUCUCUGUCUGUCCCGCAGCGCACACUCAGCAAUGGCUACCAAGGCAGCUUUAACCCCGUGUGCAUCUAACUACAGCUAAACAAUCUUAAGUCUUUCCAAAUAACCAUUUUUGGGGGGGGGGGAAUUUGGAGCCCAGGGACCCCGAUUCAGAUUUUUGUUUAGGUGUUUUCCCACACAUGGUUACACAUGCCUCAAAGACUGUCACAACGAUGCACCUCCUCUCCCAGGGAGAGGAGUGGGGUUCCGAUUUGGGGAGAGGGCUCACCUUGGUGAGCGGUGCAAAUGGGGUCGCACUCAGGUCUCCUGAUUCCUGCUUUCCCCUUUCUGACCUAAAGGAAGAGGCACACCCACAUCCACAUGGUCUCAGACCAGGAUUUUCACCCCUGUGUUCCUGCAGCUAGUCUCAGGUGAGUCAAGGCUCCCAAUUACUGUGGGAGGUUGCUUAGAGCCCAUCUCUCCUGUGGCUAGGGACGAUGGACAGGGGCUCUGACUGGGUCCCCAGUUUCUGACGUCACUGAUACACCAUGGCCUCUCAAAGUCUCUUCUUACACUUGAAACGCUGAUGUUUCAGCAUGUCUGAGAGCAAUGACAGGUUAUAGCCUCUCUUGUCCAGUUUUCAAAUACACAAACACACAAACAUACACACACACACACACACACACACACACACACACAUGAUAGACAUCCACAAACAGACAUGAACACCAGCACACCCAUAUGGACACAGAACUAAGUGGGGAGCCCUGUACCCUGACCGCACUUUGAGAUGCAGGCAGAGAGUGGUGUACAGGUGUUAUCAUCAUCCUGUGAGAGGGCCGCUCCCUUUCAGCCUUCAAGAGCAACUGAAACUUUCAGGAUGUCCCCUCUCUAGCUGUCUCUCUGCAGACACAGGAUGUAUGGAGUCACCUGGGCACAGAUCCAUCCGGAGGUUUCUGCAGACCCUGUAGCCACUCCAACCAAGCUCACCAAAGACCAGGUCCUUCAGUGGCAUCUCCCAAAACCCCCACUAAGCUGCAGGACCACAGAGCCGUGAGGACCGUGUACCAAACAGAGCCGGGGAAGUAAGCAGACAUGACGAAAUGGAGUCUUGGGUGACCCCCCACACGGCUCAAAGCCUCUGCACUGAGGGGCUCAUUCUUCCAUGAGAGACUGGCUGCAGAUGUGGCUCGGAGGUAGAGCACUUCCCUAGUGUGCAGGAGAUCCUGGAUCCUCAAAGCUGGAGGGUGGAGGAAGGCUCUCUUGGUCUGCUCUGAACCUGCCUUGGACCUGGCCCCCUUCUACCUUCUUGGAUGGGUGUCCCCUGGCUAGGUGUUUUGAGGGAUCUUGGAUGAUGUCUGCCCUGUCUUGCUCCUGGUGAUCUGGGAGCCCAGAAGGGAACACAGGGGUCAGGACUUCAUGUUCCUCCCAGGUCAAGUUCAAGGGCUUCCCCACAGCACACAGCCCUACUCCUGGAGCAGCCACAGUUACCUUCCAGGUCCGCAGACCUGCACUGGGCUCCUUCCGUGCCAUGACCUUCCUCCCUUUCCCUCCCAUUCCAGGGCCUUAUAUAGCACUUCUCUCCUGGUGGCUGGCCCAGUCCCCCCCAGCCCUGGAUGUUCAGAUUUCCUAUGGCGCUUCUCCCUAUUGAACUUGCCCCAAACAUCUAGGUCCCUCCUACUGCCAAAGGACUUGGCAUGACUACAGUGGCAGCCCAGUGCUGGAAUCCUCUUUCUCUAGGGCCCAGCCAGGGUCCCCUAGGCACCUCACAUCUCCAGUAGGGAGACAGCAGAGUGUGUCCUUGCAGCCAGUGUCGGGGCCAGAGCAGCUUGCUUUGUCCAAAUGGUUGUGAAGUAACUGUCCAGAUAACCUAAGGAAGUACACAGAAGACAGUCUACAAGCACCAGGAAGUGCCCGCCCCCAUGAGACAGAACAAGAGAAAUAACAGACAGGCUGUUAGGAACCAUGGAUCCUGUGGGACAGAGCUUGAGACACACAGCUUCCUGGAGCUAGCUAGGUCAGACCCCAGAAUAUGGGUGUGUGUCCAAGUCUGUCUUAUUCUUCACCCAGAUACCCAAGACAGUGCCUGCCAUUUCCCCCAUCCCCCACAGGCUGAGCAGAGACAGGUGACACCCAGAAGACACAUACCUGCCACCCACUGCUCAGCCUCCUUCCCAGGAUCCUGGACAAUCCAUCCUCUCCUGCGGCCUCAGUGUCCACACAGAGCCUGACAUACAAUAGGAGCGUAGAGACAGGUCGGGGGACACACCCAAAUCCUGGCUGCUGGCAUCUCAGACAUUAGCCUUUGUCCCCUCCCCCUUUGGUAGCAUCACCCCAGAGCCAGCCUUACCCACUAGACUCCUGAGACAAGCAGGCUAGGUCCUUAGACCUCUUCAUGUCUUUGUUUCCCCCAUUUCUCAGUGGAGUGGGAACCCACAUCAGACACCUUCCUUUUGGGGUCCCCUGUCAUGUCCCAAGCAUUCUGUCAUCUGAGCUGAGCUCCAGAAGCUCAGGAGUCCCUCCUGAGGGAGAGCUUCUCUCUUCUUCACAAGUGCACCAAGACACAACAAGGCUUGGAGUCCACCUAUCCUGUCACACAGGUGUUCAUAAAAUGAGUAGACAACUUUCUCUAUAGUUGCCAGGAGGGUGGGCAAGUGGCUGAGUUGGAGCAGCACCCAAGUCUUCUUGAGGGUAAGGGUUUGCCACAGGCUGUGUCUGUAUGAUGAGGAGACAAAGGCCAGAACUCAAAGCAAGAGGGAGAAACUCCUCUUCUGAGCAUCUCAGAUCCAGCAAAUCCCCAGACCCAGGUGCUGAGCUCCCUCCUCACUCCACUCUUUGUCCACACACUCACAUGUGAAAGAAACAGACUAACUUUGUAACCUAUGUCUCUUUUAAUUGCCUUAUAACUUAUAUUUUCAAGUUUUAGGCCAAUGUUAAUUAAAGCCUCUUAGUGCUUCUCCUGAGAACAGAGGAAUGUAAAAGUUCCUGACAUUAACCAUCUGCGAGGGCAGAGAUAAGGAAGAGAACAAGCAGAGAUCUCUACUAGGUGGAGAGAAAAUCACCGGCCAGCGCCUGUGAGAUAAACUUUGUUUGGAAACUGGGCCAAAUGGGCCCAAUCCUCCUCCUGAAUAGCUCCUGACCUUUGACCCAAAGCCUGUAGCCCCCACUCCUCAGAACAGACACAGGAUGAGUUAAUCACUCUCCCACCUUAAACUGUGGCUAUAUCUCAUAUGGCAGGAAUUUACAAACUGACUUGAAGAUCAGAUAUUCCCCAGAUAUUUACAACAGGGCUGACCGGACCUAAGGGUGCCCAGAACCAACCAAUGAUUUUAAAAGUUAAAUACCUCAUCCAAUCCUGAAUUGUCAAGACUGCAAGCCCUGAAAAUUCUUGCACCUUGUCCUUUAACAACCCAAAGCCUUUGUCUCCUGGUGCCACUCCUUGCUGACCAGCAGGGGUGACCCCAUUGCGCAAUGGUCAAAAUAAACCUCUUGCGAUUUUCCAUCAAUGAGAUCCGUCUCCUGAGAUCUCUUCAUCCCUUCUAGAUAUAAGGCUUGAAAAGGUUAAACUAACUUUGCAACCUGUAUGUUUUUUAAAGCCUAUAGCUUUGAGUUUUAGGUUCAGGUUAAGCUCAAGCCUCUUAGUACCUUUCCAGAGAAUGGAAAAAUGUGACCUUAUCUGUGAGGACAGAAAAAAAAGGGCAAGUAAGCAAUGACCUUCACUCAGCAAAAAGAAGGACCAGACCCUUGUCUUUGAGAUAGUGUUUCUUACCAACAAUCCCAGACUUCUUCUGAGUAGCUUUUGACCUCCAGCCAAAAGUCCGAAACCCCUAAUCUUCAAGGAUGAGCUAAGCACCUCCACCUUAAAUUGCAGCUGCAUCCACACUUGGCAGGACUGGCCAAGCUUGAGCACCUAAGACUAAGCAAUUAUCUUACUUUAUAGCGUCCUCAUCCAAUCCUAAAUUGCCAAAAUGUGACCCCAUUGCACAAUGGUUAAUAAACCUCUUGCUUUUGCAACGA